UACAGAGGUCCCAAGCGUUGUUCGAAUUCACUGGGCGUAAAGGGUGCGUAGGUGGCGGGGUAAGUUUGAUGUGAAAUCUCCGGGCUUAACCCGGAAACUGCAUUGAAUACUAUCUCGCUCGAGGGUUGGAGGGGGGACUGGAAUUCUCGGUGUAGCAGUGAAAUGCGUAGAUAUCGAGAGGAACACCAGUGGCGAAGGCGAGUCCCUGGACAACUCCUGACACUGAGGCACGAAAGCUAGGGGAGCAAACAGG
rnacentral:rRNA from 1 species